GGAGAGGUGGCUGAGCGGCUUAAAGCGGCGGUUUGAUAAACCGUUGAUCGGGUCUCACCUUCACCGGAAACACCACGAUCCGUGGGUUCAAAAUCCCACCCUCUCCG
rnacentral:tRNA from 1 species